rnacentral:rRNA from 1 species
UACGAAGGGGCUAGCGUUGCUCGGAAUCACUGGGCGUAAAGGGUGCGUAGGCGGGUCUUUAAGUCAGGGGUGAAAUCCUGGAGCUCAACUCCAGAACUGCCUUUGAUACUGAAGAUCUUGAGUUCGGGAGAGGUGAGUGGAACUGCGAGUGUAGAGGUGAAAUUCGUAGAUAUUCGCAAGAACACCAAGUGGCGAAGGCGGACUCACUGGCCCGAUACUGACGCUG